GGGAAGGUGGCUCAGUGGUCGAGCGCUUGCCUUGCAUGCAUGAGGCCCUGGGUUCGAUUCCUUACCACCACA
rfam:Dipodomys ordii contig_1640, whole genome shotgun sequence.